rnacentral:rRNA from 1 species
UACGUAGGGGGCAAGCGUUGUCCGGAUUUAUUGGGCGUAAAGAGCGUGUAGGCGGCUUGGUAGGUCCGCUGUGAAAACUCGAGGCUCAACCUCGAGAUGUCGGCGGAAACCACUUGGCUAGAGUCCGGGAGAGGAGAGUGGAAUUCCUGGUGUAGCGGUGAAAUGCGCAGAUAUCAGGAAGAACACCUAUGGCGAAGGCAGCUCUCUGGGACGGUACUGACGCUGAGGUGCGAAAGCGUGGGGAGCAAACAGG